GGCUGGGUAGUUUAGUUGGUUAGAAUAUUGCCCUGAUAAGCCAAAGUUGUAGGUUCGAUUCCUAGUUAGGGCA
rnacentral:tRNA from 1 species